rnacentral:lncRNA from 1 species
GAAUUACGUAGAAUUUAGAGAUUAAACUGUUAAAUUGGCGAAGGAUCAAAAUUUGUCAAAAGUUCACAAAAUGCACAAUUUUUUUUUAGUGCGUCUGGUAUGCUUCUGAAAGCACGGAGCGCUCCGUGCUUCCAAAUUGUUUUCGAUGUUCGGACUUUCGAAUCGACGAUCGGCUCCGUUAGACUUGAUCUGGAGUAUUUGAAGUAUCCAGAAAAUAAAUUUUGCGAUUUUUCGAUAUCAUUUGCCUAGUGAUCGAAGUGGCUCAAAAUCAACGGUAGAAAAUAAAAAUCUUACAAAAUAUGAUGAUAUGACAUUAAAAUUUUAGAUCACAGUUAUUGAUCUUGUUUUAUAUGGUAUAAAGAAUUUUCUAUCAAAAUUUCAUAUGAUUUGAAUAUUUUUACAUCGUUAAAUUUGCAAAUGGCUCACCACGGCCAUUAAAAUUAUUGAUUUUGAGACCCUUCGAUCACUAGGCAAAUGAUAUCGAAAAAUCACAAAAUUUAUUUUCUAGGUACUUCAAAUACUCUAGAUCAACUCUAACGGAGCCGAUCAUCGAUUCGAAGUCCGAACAUCGAAAAUAACUUAAAAGCACGAAGGGUUUCGUACUUCCAAAAGCAUACCAGCCCACUCUAAUUUUUUUAUACCCUUUUCUUUUUAUAAAUUAUUGCGAGUCAUAUUUUCGAGGACAUGGUAUUUGAUUUCUUAAACUUUAGUUCGAUUAAAAAAACUUAACACAUAAUAUAAGAUCUAAUUACAUGAAAAGUGUCCUAUCACUAUUUAGGAUAUUUACUAGAUAUUUCCCUUUUUUCGAGUGAUGUGAAAUUUGAUUUUUGCACGGAACUGAUCAGCUAGCCAUGUACGUAUGCACGUAUGACUUACAGACAUCUUCAAAAAUAUAAUUAUAAAAAUAAAUUUUUGAGAAAAAAACUAGACUAGGAAGUGAGAGCGACAAAAGUUAUAGAUUUUAUUACUAGCUACUAUAUUAUUAAUAGCACCAAGUCGUUGGUAUUAUUAGAUUUUCGAUCGUUAAAUUAAUGAAUGUGCAGUUAUGAUGAUAGUGAUCAUCUAGAAUUGAGUUGGUGGUUCGUUGAAUAGUAAAAUGUAACAGACAAAAAUAAUAAAAAAAGCUAGAUAGAUGUAACAGUAGAAAACUCGAUAGUAUCAAAUGCUCGGUGUCAUCGAUUAUAG